CCCCCGGUAGAACACCGGGUUGAUAGGCCAGACGUGGAAGCAUGGUAACAUGUGAAGCUGACUGGUACUAACGGUCAAGAGCAACUACUCU
rnacentral:ncRNA from 1 species